rfam:Parcubacteria (Nomurabacteria) bacterium GW2011_GWB1_43_7 TW02_C0015, whole genome shotgun sequence.
GGAGGGUUGGCAGAGCGGUUGAAUGCACCGGUUUCGAAAACCGGAAUCUCCGAAAGGGGAUCACAGGUUCAAAUCCUGUACCCUCCG